AGGACGAACGCUUGCGGCGUGCCUAAGAAAUGCAAGUCGAACGGAUAAUUAAGCAAUUAGUUAUUAGUGGCGAACGGUCGCGUAACACGUAAGGAACCUGCCCUAAAGUGGGGGAUAACAGCCCGAAAGGGUUGCUAAUACCGCAUAUGAAUUAUUGUCGGCAUCGGCGUUAAUUUAAAGCCUUGUGCGCUUUAGGAUGGUCUUGCGGCCUAUCAGCUUGUUGGUGGGGUAAUGGCCUACCAAGGCUUUGACGGGUAGCUGGUCUGAGAGGACGAUCAGCCGGAUUGGGACUGAGAUACGGCCCCAGACUCCGUACGGGGGCAGCAAUUAGGAAUCUUGCACAAGUGGGGGAAACCCUGAUGCAGCGACGCCGCGUGGAGGAUGACGGCCUUCGGGUUGUAACUUCCUUUGACGAGGAAGAAGAUGUGACGGUACUGUACGAUAACGCCCGGCUAACUACGCGCCAGCAGCCGC
rnacentral:rRNA from 1 species